GCCGGAAUGGCGGAAUUGGCAGACGCACAGGACUUAAAAUCCUGCGAUCCUUACCGAUCGUACCGGUUCGACCCCGGUCUCCGGCACCA
rnacentral:tRNA from 1 species